UCUAGCCCCAUUGAUGUCUCUAGGGCCCCCACGGCCCUAUCCCUGGGGGCCUGCAGGCAGGCGGCCCCACCUUACCGUCCUGGUUCCGGUCAAGACUGUGAAACAUGAGCAGCAGACGCUGUUCCCGCUCCUGGAGGUAGCGGGAAAAUUCCUCCAGGUCAAGCCCGCCAUCUGGGUCAGCGUCACCCUCAGAGGAGAUACCCUGGCAGAGGAAAAGGGGACAGAGGUGACUCCAGCAACCUGCUCCUGAUCUGGAGGGGACGCACGUCACCUUAUGCCUUAGGAGCCCAGAGCCCCCAGUGCCUUGAGGAAGGGGACAGAAGGAACUCAAGUUCUCGCUUCUGCCAGACGCACGCAAGAACCCUGCAACAUCUCGCUCUCUCUCUGCCCGCCCACGCCCGACACCUUCUCCUCUCGGCCGCAGAAACAGAAGAUCCAGGCGCUAUGCGCUCCCACUGUCCUUUUCUCCCGCCCGCGCGCCUCCUUUCUCUGUCCCACUCCGACCGGGAAACAGAAAAUCAACACGCGGCGCGGCUGCAAGGGGGAAGGCAGCCCAGACCACUUGACAGCGAAUAAUAACAAAAGCUCACUUUGAUUCAGUGCGUUGCACAUGCCAGGGCUUUUACUCACCUCUCGCGUCGUCGUUGCCGAAACCCUAUAAGGUGCCAUACAGCAUGGAGUGAUACAGAGGUUUUUUUCCGUAUGUGCGUCAAUGUGAGUGUGCCCCAUGCAGAAGUUCCAAGUUCUUCCCCUCACUUGAGCUCAAUCUCAUACAGGUGUUCCUCCUACAAGGUGCUUUCCCUUACCUCACAGGUAUGUUUCUGAACAGGUUUCCCUCCACCCAUGAAUGCAUUCUACAGUCUCCCACCCCAUAGGUGUGUUUCAGUUAAGUAUACACCCAUCUGGGUAUGUUUCCAUAUAACCAAGUCCCAUAUAGGUCUACGUAAAUGCAGGUAUGUCUCAUACAGGUAUUUACAAGACACUGACACCCCAGUAAUUCCCCAAUACAAGUGCUGUACAUUUCAUAGGUGAGCCUGCAGAUGUGUUCCUAAAACAGGUCUAUUCCACAUCAGAGUGCCUUAGCUGUUUGUGAUGAUAAUGCAGGCGUGUUCUGUGGAGAUAUUGUCCACCCUGGUGGUAUGUAUCCAUUUGGUCAUAUUUCUUUUCUUUUCUCUCUUUUUUUU